CUAUUUCUACAAUUUAUCUUCUUAAAAUAUGAUUUUAAACCUAACCUUAUUAACAUUGCUAACCUUAAAUUAAGACCAAAAAGUGAUAUUUUGUUUUCACGAUUUUCUGGCUGUGGUAACUAGUGCAAACCCCGCCACAUGGCAGCCCGAACGAUGACGCGAUGUCGUACGAUGUCGACAUGUUAUAAACCUACAUAACAUCGUAUAACAUCUGUGUAUUUGACAUUUCAUGUUACCAUCAAAAAACAACUAAAUGUACGUUUUCAUUCACAGAUAUUCUCAAUGUGUUUAUUUUCGUGGUGAACUCUUACCUGUAGCUACAUAACAUGUUAAUGAUCUAAAGCAUACUGUAAAUUAAAAAUCAAUGUUGGGGCUCCCAGUCUAAGGCACUGCGUCUAAGUACUAGAGGCGUCACUACAGACCCUGGUUCGAUUCCAGGCUGUAUCACAACCGGCCAUGAUUGGGAGUCCCAUAGGACAGAGCACAAUUGGCCCAGCGUCUUCCGGGUUAGGGUUUGGCUGGGUAGGCCGUCAUUGUAAAUAAGAAAUUGUUCUUAACAGAUUUGCCUAGUUAAAUAAAGGGUAAAUAAAAAAAUGAUCAAAUUGAGAAUAAUUUGAAGUACUCAAGCUAUUGUUUGAGGAAACAAGCAUUCUUUACCUAAAUCAGUUCUGAGAUUACAUGUACAUAUUGGGAUGUUGUAGUGACCUCUUGAGGAUAAAAUUAGUACUUUAUGAAGUACUUUAUUGAGCACAUAAAGCAUGUAAACUCAGCAGGGGCAGCAAUAUCAAGAUUGUCAAUGUAUGAUGUCUUAUCCAGAAGUCCCAGACAUGGCUGCAGUUGUUCUGCUUUCUUUGGUCUGUUCCAGUGUUCCUGUAUCAGGCUGCUGGACAAGUCUGGUCUGGUGGAACCAGCCUUAUUGCUGCAUUUACCAUUCUAUUUCAGUGAACAGAGCAAUCAGGCUGGGAUAGGAUAAAGUAAUCCUUCUAACCCCCCCUUAAAAGAUUUAGAUGCACUAUUGUAAAGUGGUUGUUCCACUGGAUAUUAUAGGUGAAUGCACCAAUUUGUAAGUCGCUCUGGAUAAGAGCGUCUGCUAAAUGACUAAAAUGUAAAUGUAAAAUGUUCCAACAGUCUAGCUGAAUAACACAAGGCACUUGUGUAGAAUUUAGGAAAUAAAUUAGGAAAACAGGAUAUGGUGACUUCAGUCACUCAAGAAUAAACUACGAGAACACUAUUAGUUUAAUAAAGUCACAAUAUUUGUGAACAGAGGAACAUCCACUAUACAGGAUAAUAUAUUCAUAGAGAUGAAGAUUCAAAUUGGGACAGCAGUAAAACAUUCAAACAAAACAGCAAUCUUUUUUUUCCAGGCCUAACAGUCCAUUAAGUGAAAUAAGCACUGUAUUUUGGUCUCCACAAAUAAAACAAGAACAAUAUGUCCAUAUUAAUAAAAAUUGCAUAGCAAGACACACACACACACACACACACAUAUUAACCUUUACAUAAAAACCUUGAUACUACAAGCAAUGAAGAUGGGAAACAGAGACACCGGAUAGGACCAAAAGAACCUCUGCCUGCUUUGACUAAUCAACAGAGUGAAUAUGCUUUAUUUUUGACUGGACAAAUGUAUACCUAUUUGAAUCAUAUACACAUCUGUUGAUUAUAUUUAUAGAGAAAAUAAACUUGUGGGUAUAACAUUAAAGUUGUGAGCAGGCAAGCAAAGAGGUUUGUACCAUGCAUGGGUGUAGUAGAUGUGUCAAUGAAGCAUGUGUCAACUGAUGGCAGUGCAAUCAGAGUGUCUCAGUGUUUCCUUAGUUUAAUAAGGGGUUGUGAUGAGGGGGUUUAACCAGCAAAACGGUAAUUGACAUGGAUCUCUGGCUUGAUGUCACACACCAUCUUAAGCAGGUUGCCCAGCACCCCUUCCCGGUUCUGCUGGUAGCUGGUCUGGAUGCUACCCAUCUUGCCCACGGUCUCUUUGUCCACCUCUACAGCAGAGUUACCAUGGGAUCCAAGAGCCUAAUGGAGAAAUGGAAGACCGAUUUAGGCCACCUUACAAGACAAACCACUUGAAACAUACAUGUCUCACCGCAGCCUCCUUGGUCUUAAAAUCCUUCUCCCUCUGCAUACGGUACUGCUCAAUCUCGGCCUGGGCUUCCUCCUUGGCCUGCUUCAGCCGACGGUUCUUACCUGAUCAAACCGAAGGGAAAAAAAAUCUGCACUUAGGCCUAGUAAGUGAAAUAAACAAUGAUUAAAUUCAUCGUUCAAUCAAGUUCCC
rnacentral:lncRNA from 1 species